rnacentral:rRNA from 1 species
UGGGGAAUCUUCCGCAAUGGACGAAAGUCUGACGGAGCAACGCCGCGUGAGUGAAGAAGGUUUUCGGAUCGUAAAACUCUGUCUUUUGGGGCGAACGUGAGUAUGGUGAACAAUCAUAGUCAGUGACGGUACCAAAGGAGGAAGCCACGGCUAACUACGUGCCAGCAGCCGCGGUAAUACGUAGGUGGCAAGCGUUGUCCGGAAUUAUUGGGCGUAAAGAGCGCGUAGGCGGGAUAGUCAGUCUGUUGUAAAGUGCGGGGCUCAACCCCGUGAUGGCAAUGGAAACAGCUAUUCUUGAGUGCAGGAGAGGAAAGUGGAAUUCCCAGUGUAGCGGUGAAAUGCGUAGAUAUUGGGAGGAACACCAGUGGCGAAGGCGACUUUCUGGACUGUGUCUGACGCUGAGGCGCGAAAGCCAGGGGAGCGAACGGGAUUAGAUACCCCCGGUAGUCCUGGCCGUAAACGAUGGGUACUAGGUGUGGGAGGUAUCGACCCCCUUCCGUGCCGGAGUUAACGCAAUAAGUACCCCGCCUGGGGAGUACGGUCGCAAGACUGAAACUUAAAGGAAUUGACGGGGGUCAUAGCUGUUUCCU